GAUGAACGCUGGCGGCGUGCCUAAUACAUGCAAGUCGAGCGAACAGAUAAGGAGCUUGCUCCUGUGACGUUAGCGGCGGACGGGUGAGUAACACGUGGGUAACCUACCUAUAAGACUGGGAUAACUUCGGGAAACCGGAGCUAAUACCGGAUAACAUUUGGAACCGCAUGGUUCUAAAGUGAAAGAUGGUUUUGCUAUCACUUAUAGAUGGACCCGCGCCGUAUUAGCUAGUUGGUAAGGUAACGGCUUACCAAGGCGACGAUCAGUAGCCGACCUGAGAGGGUGAUCGGCCACACUGGAACUGAGACACGGUCCAGACUCCUACGGGAGGCAGCAGUAGGGAAUCUUCCGCAAUGGGCGAAAGCCUGACGGAGCAACGCCGCGUGAGUGAUGAAGGGUUUCGGCUCGUAAAACUCUGUUAUUAGGGAAGAACAACCGUGUAAGUAACUGUGCACGUCUUGACGGUACCUAAUCAGAAAGCCACGGCUAACUACGUG
rnacentral:rRNA from 1 species